GAGGGUGGUCUGGCUUUGAUAUCUGUCACCCCAUUGAUCGUCAGGGUUGAUUCAGCUGAUCUGUCUGGCUAGGCAGGUGUCCCCUUCCCCGCUCACCACUUCAUGGGCAUCCCUCCUUAAGCUGCACUCAGUUGAAGAGGACGACCUUCCCCGAAUAGAGGAGGACUUUGGUCAAGGUAUCUGAGUAGCUGCACUCCCUUGCUAGAACCUACAUAAGGACAUAGAAGAAGGAAGCUUGCUCUCUGCCC
rnacentral:snRNA from 1 species